UCUCUGCAUUCCGGCAGCUCCAACUGCCAUUCCUAGGAUUCAGAGCCCUCAGGAGGAGGACAGAUGAAGGCUGUGCCGGGCACGGUGACAGGGCUCCAUCUCGUCCCAGUAUAUCCUGGCAAUUGUUCCCUACCGGUGCAUAAACAGCAACCUGGGCCCUCCCCAGCCAAGUUUGUUCCAAUGGAGUUUUAAGUUCUUCUCUGCUCCUGGUCAUCAAGUAUUUUCCUCCGUCACCUUUAUAGUUUUUCAGAGGAUGCUGAAUCCAUCAGAGAAACCUUGUCCAACAGAACUCAGAUCAUGGAAAGCUUUCAUAUCUAUACCAUCAAAUUAGUAGCACUGGUUAGAAGUGGCAAUUGAGGAUGUCAAAUGUGGCUACUGCAGCCACAGCACUGAACGCUUCAUUUUGCUUCAUUAAUUAAAAAAAUUAAAUAGCCAUAUGUGGUUAGUGGCUACCGCCCCGGACAGCACAGAUCUAGGGUUUUGUUGUGGUGUUAGGUAUGGAUUCAGUUUUCUUUUAUCUCCAGAAAAUGAACCAAUUUCCCCAACACUAUUAUUAAACUAUCUAUUUUUCCCUC